UGCCAGAGGUGUGUCAUAUCAGUGACUUAAA
rnacentral:piRNA from 1 species